GCUGGCGGCGUGCUUAACACAUGCAAGUCGAACGAACCUUCGGGUUAGUGGCGGACGGGUGAGUAACGCGUGAGAAUCUGCCCUCAGGAGGGGGAUAACGGUUGGAAACGACCGCUAAUACCCCAUAUGCCUACUGGUGAAAUGAAUUUCGCCUGAGGAUGAGCUCGCGUCUGAUUAGCUAGUUGGUGAGGUAAUGGCUCACCAAGGCUUCGAUCAGUAGCUGGUCUGAGAGGAUGAUCAGCCACACUGGGACUGAGACACGGCCCAGACUCCUACGGGAGGCAGCAGUGGGGAAUUUUCCGCAAUGGGCGAAAGCCUGACGGAGCAACGCCGCGUGAGGGACGAAGGCCUCUGGGCUGUAAACCUCUUUUCUCAAGGAAGAAGAUAUGACGGUACUUGAGGAAUAAGCCACGGCUAAUUCCGUGCC
rnacentral:rRNA from 1 species